rnacentral:tRNA from 3 species
GGAGAGGUACCGAAGUGGUCAUAACGGAGACGACUCGAAAUCGUUUUGUCGCGCAAGCGGCGCGUGGGUUCGAAUCCCACCCUCUCCGCCA